CUCCUCCCGAGCGUGACUGCGAGGUGUGGAGGGUCGGGCCAGGUUUCUCUCGUGCUGAGUGGUGCCUGUUCUUGGCAGGUCCCAGUGCUGGUCCCAGAGCAACCAGCAGGGUUUCCUCAGCUCUGCCUGGCUGGGGCAGAGCGUACUUGCAGCACUGACAGGAACCAUCCCCCGGUCGGACGUGGGCAUGUGACAGGGCUUUAGGGAGGUAAGAGGGUGUCCUUCUCCUUCCUCCCCCCUCCUGCCGGGUGUGACACUGGCAAUGGAGAGCAGCUCCUGAUCCUCAGCCCUCCUCAACGUGCUGCAGCGGCCAAGUAUGGCCACAGACACAGAUGGCAACUGUGCCAUCUGCCAGGACACCUGGGAUGAUGUGGCUUCUACUCUGCCCUGUGGCCACCAGUUCUGCCGGGGCUGCAUUCUGCGAUGGGCACACACAAAUCCAUCAUGCCCACUGUGCAGAGGAGCAAUAGAGACUGUCAGGCUUUCUGAUGAUGCCAGUGACUCUCUAGAGAUUCAAUCUCUCUGGAUCUCUCUGCAUGGUGUCUCAUCCUUCAAGAGAGUCAACAGCUCUCCCAGUUUGAGAUCAGCAGCAGCCUUGAAUUGGGACAUUUAACUGCAGCAUCCCAAUCUUUGAAAAAUCCCAGCCUUCUCCUCCAGCCGAGUUUCCAGCUGUCACUCACUUGUUCUAUAGCUUGAACAAUAGGAAGGGCCCCUUGUUUGGUCAGCAGUGAAGUGUCAGACUGCACCUUGCUGGCACAGUGCCCUUCCCAGUCUUCAGGAUUCAGCUGGGGAGGACAACUCAGCAAAGGCAGGAGGAGAAAAGUUGAGCUGCACCCCUGGAGUACCAUUUGUGUAUUUGCAGAUUUCCUUUCUUCAGGGGUCCACAUGCUGUCAUUUGGAGUGUGUCCCUGUCACCUCAGGAGUGCUCCCAGGAUGGAGGCCUGGCCUUGUCAUUGUGCAGAUGAAUGAACUGCAGCUGAAACCAAAGGCAGAGAGAAUUCAUUCCUGGGUUUGGAGCCCCCCUAGACAGGACCCAUUCUACUGAGCAAGCAAGGCUGAACAGUCCCACAGCCCUAAACACAGGUGCCCAUCACCCUCAAUCCAGCAGGGCUGCAGAGAGGACAGACUCUGACUUUAAAUGACAAGGGACAAAACCUUGUACAGAGCCUGGCCUGAAAGGCCUGGGUGUGAUGGCCUCUCCCAGGGAGAGAGACAAGAGACCCUGUGAACCGACACCAGGACUGUCCCCAGGAAACCAUGGCAAGGUGUCAGGAGCAGGGAUUAUAGACAGGGCCAAGGACAUGUGAUGCAGGUAGCUGAGGGACAGCAUCACGGAGAAGUAGAAACUGAAACUAGGAAACAGUAUUUCCUUUUUUCUCUGACAACAUGUGCCUGCAGGGAUGAAACGCCUGCUGUGUCAUCACAGUGUUAAGAAACGAACUAACUUUUAGAUACAAUUAAAUGAGGACAAAGUCAUGGAGUGAGGCGUCCUGGACCUGGGUCCAGCAGGAUGGCCGGUCGACAGGAACCCCACAUGACUAGGAAUAUGAAUCCACCAACAGACGGGACGACACCCAGAGUGCUGCAGUUCUCGAGGGUUUAUUGUAGGUACAACGAGGGUAGAAGAGAGCAGGGAGAGGCAGGGGAAGAGCAGGGAGACCACCUCUCGAGAAGGGAGCUACCUCUGAGGGCCGCCUCCAGAGGAGGGGUCGGGGCUUAUAAUCGGAGAAGGGGAGGCGGGGAACCAAUGGAAUAGGAGCCCAUGGAAGGAGUAAGGAUGGGACAAUCCAAUGGGAGACAGGGGAAGGAGUGGUUACAGGGAGAGAACCAAUAACAGAACAUAGAACGGGAAACUUUCCAGAACCAGGGAUGGCAUAACAGUUUGAUAGGCAUUAACUGGGGAGGGUACAUCUAGCGAUGGACAUGGGAGAAGGCGGGAACUUUGUUACCAUGCUCUUCUUUACACUACAGCUGUUUCCCAUGGCAUUCCUGACAGAUCUCCUCUGAGACCUCCUCCCACAAUGGAGGCAAAAUAAAUCUGUUUAAUAGUAACAAUUCACCUGA